AUACGGAGGGUGCAAGCGUUACUCGGAAUCACUGGGCGUAAAGCGCGCGCAGGCGGCUAUUUAAGUUGGAUGUGAAAGCCUACGGCUUAACCGUAGAACUGCAUCCAAAACUAUUUAGCUAGAGUGUGGGAGAGGAAGAUGGAAUUAGUUGUGUAGGGGUAAAAUCCGUAGAGAUAACUAGGAAUACCAAAAGCGAAGGCAAUCUUCUGGAACACUACUGACGCUGAGGCGCGAAAGCGUGGGGAGCAAACAGGAUUAGAUACCCUAGUAGUCC
rnacentral:rRNA from 1 species